rnacentral:rRNA from 1 species
GACGAACGCUGGCGGCGUGCUUAACACAUGCAAGUCGAACGGUAAGGCCCUGCUCUUGUGGGGUGCUCGAGUGGCGAACGGGUGAGUAACACGUGAGUAACCUGCCCCUGACUUUGGGGUAACUUCAGGAAACUGGGGCUCAUACCGGAUAGGAGCUCCUGCUGCAUGGUGGGGGUUGGAAAGUUUCGCCGUUUGGGGAUGGACGCGCGGCUCAGCAGUUUGUUGGUGGGGUAGUGGCUUACCACGGCUUCGACGGGUAGCCGGCCUGAGAGGGUGACCGGCCACAAUGGGACUGAGGUGCGGGCCAGAGGGCUACGGGAGGCAGCGGUGGGAGAUAGUGCAAGAAGGGCGGAGGCCUGAUGGAGCGACGCCGCGUGCGAGAUGACGGCCGUCGGGGUGGAAAGCGCGUUCGCCUGUGACGAAGAGUGAGUGACGGUAAUGGGUAAAGAAGCACCGGCUAACUACGUG